UACGGGGGGGGCAAGCGUUGUUCGGAAUUACUGGGCGUAAAGGGUUCGUAGGUGGCUAACCAAGUCAGACGUGAAAUCCCUCAGCUUAACUGGGGAACUGCGUCUGAGACUGGAUAGCUCGAGUGCAGGAGAGGAACGCGGAAUUCCAGGUGUAGCGGUGAAAUGCGUAGAUAUCUGGAGGAACACCGGUGGCGAAGGCGGCGUUCUGGACUGCAACUGACACUGAGGAACGAAAGCCAGGGGAGCAAACGGG
rnacentral:rRNA from 1 species